rnacentral:lncRNA from 1 species
GCAGAGGCGCGAUCGCCGCCGGUGCCCGCGGAGCUCAGCGGGGCGCGGCGCCCGGUGGUGCCGCCAUGGGCCGCCUCCGGCGCUCCGGUGCCCGCGGCGGCGGCACCCUGGCUUCAGCCCGCAGGCGUCCCGCUCAGCCCGAGCCUUGCCAAGGGAUGAAGGGAGGGGGGGGGGGCGCAAAAAGAAAAGUAUAUAUUUUAAAAUAAAGCACUGCAGCCCACCCCGCCUUCGCCGCGGAGCGCGUCCCCCCGGCUGCGGAUGGCUUUAAUGGAGCUUGGCAGCCACAGGUUCCCGCUGCCAGAAGAGGUGGAGACUCCGCCGCCUGCGCCCCACAUGCGGCCGCGCACCGCACACGCGGGGGAGGAGGAGGAGGAGGAGAAGAAGGAGGAGGAGAAGGAGAAGGGCAGCCCCGGCCCGGCACCACAGACCGAGGGUGAGAUUUCAACGUGCCAGUUGCAGCACUGCAGGCAGAAAACUGCACAGACCUGUCUGACUCCAGCAGCUCCAAGGAUGGCCCCCGGCAUUCUGCAAGGACAGAAAAAAUAAGAGGGAACUGGGCUAUCAGUGAGGAAAGGUAAAAUAACAAUACCUCUGUUCAGUGACUAGAGUAACCAUAAGCAGUUAUUAAAACAGGUUUUGGAACAUGUUAAAAACCCAAGCCUUACUGUGGUACCUGGUCCAGGGCUGUUGUAAUACAGCUUGUUUUCUCCCUGUUAAAACAAUAAUUUACUCUUUACUUUGAGGAAGAUAAAUGUUCUCGAGGCAUAUAAUGAUAUCAGCAGAGAUAAAUUACAAAGGACACCAGCCAAACUCAAGCUUUGUGAGGACUGAACCAUAAAUUGCUGCAGCAGGCACACGUCUGCUCUGGCAGCAGGGUAACCAUGCACCUGCUCAUGCCUCAGGCCAGCCCCUUGCCUGGCAUAUUCCUGCAAGGCACAAGGAAAGCGCUUAAUCACUUAUUAAAUUCUUGCUCUAUCUAAAAAGUAUUUAAGGAUGUGAACUUUGGUUCAAGACUUGCAUGUGUAAUACCCUUAUAUGCCUAAAACAUCAUUCCACUGUGUGCAUUUUUUCUGGUUUAUAUAUGUGCAUUUUCCCUGACACUGUACAAACCUAUCAAAAAAUGUUUUCAAAGCUUUUUUUAAAUAUACAAGGAAGCUGUGGAAUGAGGGAUGUCUUUUGAGUACUUUGGAUUAUAUAGUACAUGUUCAUCUGAGGGUGCCCCAUGGGUACCUGGGGGUUCUGUGCUCUUGCCAGGAUGUCUUAUUGCACAAACCUUCCUUGCUGCCCCAUAACAACCACCAACUGUCCCAAACUGCUGACCUAUUAACCAAACAAACCCCACUAAAUAUUGCCAUGUGUAAGUGUACUAUUAUUUUUCUAAUUGCUAAAAACAUGUCCUUCCUGUGUUCAAUAGCCUCUAGAAGAGAUUGUUAACAGCUGGGUAUUUAGCACAACAGAGACUUUAGACUUAAAGGAACAUUGUCCAGGUUAGCCAGUGAAUUUGGCCAUCUGUAAUUUUUUGUAGAUGAUUCUUUUCAUGUUAUCC